rnacentral:rRNA from 1 species
CCUACGGGAGGCUGCAGUGAGGAAUAUUGGUCAAUGUACGAGAGUCUGAACCAGCCAAGUAGCGUGCAGGAUGACUGCCCUAUGGGUUGUAAACUUCUUUUAUACGGGGAUAAAACGUUCCACGUGUGGGAUUUUGUAUGUACCGUAUGAAUAAGGAUCGGCUAACUCCGUGCCAGCAGCCGCGGUAAUACGGAGGAUCCGAGCGUUAUCCGGAUUUAUUGGGUUUAAAGGGAGCGUAGGCGGAGUGUUAAGUCAGUUGUGAAAGUUUGCGGCUCAACCGUGAAAUCGCAGUUGAAACUGGCAGUCUUGAGUACAGUAGAGGUAGGCGGAAUUCGUGGUGUAGCGGUGAAAUGCUUAGAUAUCACGAAGAACUCCGAUUGCGAAGGCAGUUCACUGGACUGCAACUGACACUGAGGCUCGAAAGUGUGGGUAUCAAACACGAUUAGAUACCCGAGUAGUC